rnacentral:lncRNA from 1 species
AAAGAAGCGUUCAUCUCUUUAAUAGUAGGUAUAAACAUGUGAAGCUUAGAACAAAUGCGUAGCUUGACUAUAAAGCGUUAUUUUAGAAUCUUGCUUGCAACUGUUUGAAUAGAAGAGAAGAAUUGCUUCGUUCUUCUCCAUCAGAAACAUGCUUGAUAUGCCUCAGAGAACAAGCCUCUAGAUUAUUUUAUAUGAAGAUAUACUGUGUGCAUAAUAAAAGACCAAAUUACGUGUAGUAGAUCGGACAGUUCAUGCCAAAUAUUUUCUUCUUUCUCGAGAUGGAGUGGUUUUGGGGGACUGGCUUUAAGCUUUCCAAUACUCCUUUUAUCUCCUCUUUGUCCUAUACAAAGAUGGAUCAAGAAAUCAAAAUCAAUUGAAAUUGGAGAAAGCAAUGAUAUUGGUAUGUAAAAUAAUGACAGCGAUGUUUCACGUGUCUUAGAUUGAAAAACAACAUAAAGCCUUGAGUAGCCCAUAUGUUCGGAUAUUAUGAAGAGGCACCCUCAUGCUUGCAUUACCUCAUAGUGUUGUUUUCAUACUUAUUCAGAAAGAUGGCUGCAAUGACUGUUCAAAAAGAUCCAAACUUCUCCUGAAACAUAAUAGAAACGUUGCUGGCGCCCUGAUAUUUACUGCAAAAAUAUAUUCUGAAACAUCAUUUUAAAUAGGGCCACCUCCAUCAUUUCCUAACGAAUAUAUGUGCAGCUCAUCCGCUUAAAAUGUAUAGGAAUACUAGAGAACAAAGCAAGUAUCUAUAGCUGAAGUUGUGUAUGAAUCUAAGA